CGAAAAUCACCGAUUUAUCCUUCGGGCGAUAAAUCUUGUUUUAAUCGGCAUAGUCGUGGCGCGUUCGUGUGCUAGCGGCAGAACGACGUGGUACCGAAAAACGGUGCCGAAAAAAUCGCAUCACGAAUCCCUUUGCGAUCAACCGCAUCCUCCGACUCCAUUUCUUGAAAUGCCAGCCUCGCAGAGGCUGAAAAUAGCGGGCAACCGAUUAAAAAAAAAACGGGGUAAAUAGGUCUGGAUAUCGCCAGACUACGGUCCGUAGUGCGUGGAACACAUGAAGGAACGGGAAAACAACCUCCUCAUCGGAAACACACACCGACACACACAGUUAAUCUCCAAUAUCUGCCCGUCGCAGUCAGGUCCUGGAUAACGUGUUCAGCACCAGCAGCCUACCCGACGUCUUCGGUCCUUUUUAGUUCCUGCACGCACUGGCGAAUUGCGUCUUCGUUUCACAGGGAAAACGUGGAUGGACGAUGGCGAAAUUUAUUAAAGCUGAGGUAUACUCGCCGUGUGAUGAUCCAAGGCGGUCUGUUGUGGAGGGCUGGAGGAUCUGGUUGUGUUAUGCUGCUGGUCGACGGCUGUGAGCGCUGUGAACUCCCCGCCGCACACCGUGGGAUCCGCGCUGUAAACAAGCAGCAGUCGCACCGCUCCACUUUAUAAUGUCUCGCUGCGGCUUGUAGGACAUGGACAUCCAACGUCCAAGUGUUGUCACGUGAUUCCACUUGCCACCCCCACUGACGUCACUGGCUAAUCGCGCGGGAGAGCUUCAUUCUCUUCUCGACUACUCGACUACUUCACCAAGAUGACAACGACGCAUGACAUAACACAUCUCAGGAAGUGGUGGUUCUCCACUUUGUUGGAGAAUCUCCAUGCAGAAGGUCAUUGCAGACGGUUUGCUCAUUUCACGGAGGAGGGCAGAGAGAUGGCACUCUACCGCCUAUCUUCGGUAUCCCGGGGAAGCGCUAAGUGUCCGAAACGGAGGAGACAUAAUAUUUGUCUUUUCUUUAUUUCUUUACUUUUUAUUGGUUUGUUUGAAGGGAAGAGCAGAAAAUAAAAUUGAUAAUAAUGAAUACCAAUUCCAAGAAACAUGUUAUUUUAAU
ensembl:lncRNA